CGGGGCUUAAAGUCUUGUAAUUGGAAUGAUGGGAAUUUAAACCUCUUCCAGAGUAUCAAUUGGAGGGCAAGUCUGGUGCCAGCAGCCGCGGUAAUUCCAGCUCCAAUAGCGUAUAUUAAAAUUGUUGCAGUUAAAAAGCUCGUAGUUGAAUUUCUGCUGCAUUGCUUGUGUCCCUCUGGGGUCUGUGUAUGUGGCUUUUUUCGGACGGAGUUUCUUUGUCUGAAUGUUUACUUUGAGAAAAUUAGAGUGCUCAAAGCAGGCUUUCGCCUUGAAUAGUUUAGCAUGGAAUAAUAAAGUAGGACUUUGGUUCUAUUUUGUUGGUUUUAGGUACCAAAGUAAUGGUUAAUAGGAACAGUUGGGGGCAUUCGUAUUUAACUGUCAGAGGUGAAAUUCUUAGAUUUGUUAAAGACGAACUACUGCGAAAGCAUUUGCCAAGGAUGUUUUCAUUAAUCAAGAAC
rnacentral:rRNA from 1 species